ACUCCUACGGGAGGCAGCAGUAGGGAAUCUUCCACAAUGGGCGAAAGCCUGAUGGAGCAACGCCGCGUGGGUGAAGAAGGUCUUCGGAUCGUAAAACCCUGUUGUUAGAGAAGAAAGUGCGUGAAAGUAACUGUUCACGUUUCGACGGUAUCUAACCAGAAAGCCACGGCUAACUACGUGCCAGCAGCCGCGGUAAUACGUAGGUGGCAAGCGUUAUCCGGAUUUAUUGGGGCGUAAAGGGAACGCAGGCGGUCUUUUAAGUCUGAUGUGAAAGCCUUCGGCUUAACCGGAGUAGUGCAUUGGAAACUGGGAGACUUGAGUGCAGAAGAGGAGAGUGGAACUCCAUGUGUAGCGGUGAAAUGCGUAGAUAUAUGGAAGAACACCAGUGGCGAAAGCGGCUCUCUGGUCUGUAACUGACGCUGAGGUUCGAAAGCGUGGGUAGCAAACAGGAUUAGAUACCCUGGUAGGAUAGCG
rnacentral:rRNA from 1 species